UUUAAAAAAAGCAUUUUGCAUUAAAAGAAUGCUUUCAUGUGAUAAUGGCCGGGGAAGGUUUUCCGGUUUAUCCCGGAGGGCUUGUAGCUCAGUUGGUUAGAGCGCGCGCUUGAUAAGCGUGAGGUCGGAGGUUCAAGUCCUCCCAGGCCCACCAAUUAUCCAUCGAUAGAAAAGCGCUUAGGAAGCUUGAAAAGAGCUUUCUCGUAAAGUUUAAAAAAACUUGUUUAUCGCUUUUUGUAAGAUGUGGCGUUUGUCUGUUUUUAAAGCGGUCGAGACCAAAAGUGUUGCAAAGACAAGAGUCUUGGAGCAGGAAAGAACAUAAGAUCCAGGUGGUGUCACAUGGUCUAGAGUUAAACUGUUCAGGAUUGGAAUAUUCCAUGUUGAAAUGCUGCGAUAUAAAGGUUUCGGAUAAAUUAUUCCGUUUUGGGGCCGUAGCUCAGCUGGGAGAGCACCUGCUUUGCAAGCAGG
rnacentral:misc_RNA from 1 species